UACGUAGGGGGCAAGCGUUGUCCGGAAUUAUUGGGCGUGAAGAGCGUGUAGGCGGCCAGAUAAGUCCGCUGUGAAAUCUCGAGGCUCAACUUCGAGCUGUCGGUGGAAACUAUCUGGCUAGAGUCCGGAAGAGGAGAAUGGAAUUCCUGGUGUAGCGGUGAAAUGCGCAGAUAUCAGGAAGAACACCCGUGGCGAAGGCGGUUCUCUGGGACGGUACUGACGCUGAGACGCGAAAGCGUGGGGAGCGAACAGG
rnacentral:rRNA from 1 species